AGAUCUCCAUUUCUUUCUUUCUUUCUUUUUAAGUAGGCUCCAUGCCCAACGUGGGCCUUGAACUUACGACCUCGAGAUCAAGAGCCUCAUACUCUACCCACUAAGCCAGCCAGACACCCCUUCACAUUUCCAAUUCAAAGGAGUGACUUCCACACUGUAGAACCUGAGGCCCUUCUUGGAGGUCCCCACGUUUGCUCUAGAAAUCAGUCAGGAGCCCGGGGGGGGGUGGGGAAGGGCUUGUGAACGUCUGCUCCUGUUUUAGUUGGUAAAGUUCUUUUAUGCACUUCAUGUAGUGGCUUCUGUAUCACAUUUCAUUUUGAGAAAUAGCUGUAUAGCUUUUCAAAAAUGAACACCAGAGUAUUAGAUGAUUUCUAAGAUUUAUCCUGGUUUAAAUACAAGUUCCCUCCUCCACCUGCAUUUUCUUUUCUGAAUUCAGUAACUGAAUAGAUUCAGAUAGCAAGGAGUAUACAUUAUAGUAUAUAUCAGUCAUACCCCUAGAAACAGAACCAACAGGGUGUGUUCAUCUUGAGGCAUUGGCUCACCUGAUCACAGAGGCUUUAUGCAUCCAAAAUCAUCAGAGUAGGCCAGGAGGCUACAGACUGCACUUUGAGCCAAGGAAAGAGCUGUACUUUGAGUCCAGGCUGUUGACAGAAUUCCCUCUUGUCUGGGACAGGAUGGUGCUGGUGAGGGUUUCUGUCUUUGUGCUCUUAAGACCUUCAGAUGAUUGGAUGAGGCCCAAUCCAAAGGGUAAUCUGCUUUACCUGAAGUCCACCCAUUUAAGUGUCCACCUCAUCCAAAAAACUCCUUCACGGAAGAAACAUCCAGGAGAAUGUGUGACCAAUUUCUAGGCACUGUGGCCUAGCCAAGUUGACACAUACAACUAACCAACACAUACUAUGAAGGGAAGAAAUAGGACAUUAUAGCUAUAUAAUUACUCUCUUGCCAAUGAAGAGGAGAAUAUACACUAAUAAAAGAUAAAAUAAUGCAUUUUAUUUUGUGGAAGAUGACAGAAUUAGAAAAAUCAAAGUUCCACUUGGAGAAGUAAAGCAUGCUAUUUUGGGCAGCUAAAAUGACUGUGGAUUUUUAAGUUAAAUUGCUUGGACAAAAAUUUCUCCUCUUUGAGUAAAUGUUGGGCAUAGUGUUAUAAAGAAAUAGCUCCUCCUAAAUGAUACCUAUUUCUUUCAGUAAAGAACUGUCUCUGUGUUCCUUAGACAUCAUGGAUUCAUGAUGUCCCAGUCUUUACUUCAUCUCUAUUUCUAAGUCUCUGCUUCCUAUAUCUGCUUACUCUUUCCCUUUGUCAUUCCUCCCAUCUUUGUUCAUUUGUUGCUACUGUCUUCAGCAACUUUUCAGUAAAUCAGGGCAUUCUGAAGAAAUAAAUGGACAUGCUCUUAUAGAUUGUUCUAUGUAAAGAAUGUAUGUAUCUUUUUAAUAUUUGUUUAUUGGUAAUUGUCUUUGAGGCAAAACAAAGGGGCAAGGCACAUUCAUCUUACAGAACAACAGAGAAAUGGAGCAUUUGUUCAAAUUUAGUGAUAAACAUAAUGAAUUUAUUAUUCAAAAGGUUCCCUUUUCUCUGAGGGCCAAAUGAAAUUUACAUAAUUUAGCAAUGUAUAUCAUAGAAUAAAAAUAGGUUGUGUAGUACUGUAGCUCCCCUUGAAAUAGGUUUUCCCCCACAGAAUGACAUUUUAUUGCUAUUUUUUUAAAGAUUUUAUUUAUUUAUUUGACAGAGAGAGACACAGCGAGAGAGGGAACACAAGCAGGGGGACUGGGAGAGGGAGAAGCAGGCUUCCCGUGGAGCAAGGAGCCCGAUGUGGGGCUUGAUCCCAGGAGUCUGGGAUCAUGAUUUUGGAUGCAUAAAGCCUCUGCAAUCAGGUGAGCCAAUUCCUCAAAAUGAACACAUCCUGUUGGUUCUGUUUCUAGGGGUAUGACUGAUAUAUAGAUCAUGACCAAAGGCAGACCCUUAACUGACUGAGCCACCCAGGCACUCCAUUUUGUUGCUAAUUUAAUUAUUCUCUUCUCUGUACCUUAAGAGUUCUAGUGCUAUCCGGAUGUUAAAUAUGCCUUAAAGAAGUGUUUCAUUAUGGCAGGACGUAGUUGCUUAUAAUGACACCAUAAAGCCAAAUUCCCAAAGCAGCAACAAGGAAGUUUCUUAGGCCCUCCUAACAACUCAUUCGUAUUCUUUCAACAUGAUUCCUUGCUUAUAUGCUGCUUCCUUGUGUUGGGCCAAGGUUAUAACUGAUUUAUCUAUUUUGCAGCCUCAGGUAGAGACUGAUAUUUUAUCUCUAAAAAAAAAGAUGAUGAAUGAGACUUUCAGCAUUUUUUAAAGACCGAAAAGAUUGGACAUAAAACUCUGGAAUAGAGAGUACAACUUUUUCAUGCUUCCAAAGAAAUCCAUUCAAAUAUUGACAUAUAUGCUGAACAAUUCACUGAUUUCUUCAUUCAUUCAUUCAAUAGUAUUUAUUGAGUAUCUUUUGUGCCUGGGCACUAGGGUUACCAAGAUAUUACUAUAUAUGGCCCCUGACUUUGAGACACCAUCUAUGAGGGAAACAGACAUAGAAACCAGCAGCGACAGGAUGAUUUGAUGUGUAGGUUAACAAAGGAUUAUACACUGAGUAUGAGCAGCCAGACCAAAACCUCUGAUGUGGCCAAGAACAAGGACUGGGUGAGCCAAAAGUGAAGGGGCGAGAUGUUCGAUGACUCUGUGGUCAAGCCAACAGCAUGUUUGGCCUCGUUGCCAUGAAUGAUUGCUGAAUUCCUUAGAAUAGGGGAACUCGGGUAAAUGAGCGCUCUUGUACUCAAUUGACAACUCUGGAGAUUCAUGUGGCCACUAGCCCUCAGCUAUCUUGGAUAGACUGAGAAACCCAAAGAACAGAGGAAGUGGGGACUUGGUACUGUUUGGGUUUUCUUUGUACAGUGAAUUUGUUGUUGUUUACAUUUGUUUUUAAAGAUCUUCCCCAAUCCUGAGAUUUCUCUCUACUUUCCUAUUGAAAUGGAAAUUCUCCACAUAAUUGUGUAGGUCAUUGGAUAUUGCUAAGGAGACAAGCAACAUCCAGUGUUUUGUAACAAAAUUUAAUGCUUGUUGUCAUAAAAUAUAAUAUAGUUCUC